rnacentral:rRNA from 1 species
ACUGAUCGGCCACAAUGGGACUGAGACACGGCCCAUACUCCUACGGGAGGCAGCAGUAGGGAAUCUUCCACAAUGGGCGCAAGCCUGAUGGAGCAACACCGCGUGAGUGAAGAAGGGUUUCGGCUCGUAAAGCUCUGUUGUUAAAGAAGAACACGUAUGAGAGUAACUGUUCAUACGUUGACGGUAUUUAACCAGAAAGUCACGGCUAACUACGUGCCAGCAGCCGCGGUAAUACGUAGGUGGCAAGCGUUAUCCGGAUUUAUUGGGCGUAAAGAGAGUGCAGGCGGUUUUCUAAGUCUGAUGUGAAAGCCUUCGGCUUAACCGGAGAAGUGCAUCGGAAACUGGAUAACUUGAGUGCAGAAGAGGGUAGUGGAACUCCAUGUGUAGCGGUGGAAUGCGUAGAUAUAUGGAAGAACACCAGUGGCGAAGGCGGCUACCUGGUCUGCAACUGACGCUGAGACUCGAAAGCAUGGGUAGCGAACAGGAUUAGAUACCCUGGUAGUCCAUGCCGUAAACGAUGAGUGCUAGGUGUUGGAGGGUUUCCGCCCUUCAGUGCCGGAGCUAACGCAUUAAGCACUCCGCCUGGGGAGUACGACCGCAAGGUUGAAACUCAAAGGAAUUGACGGGGGCCCGCACAAGCGGUGGAGCAUGUGGUUUAAUUCGAAGCUACGCGAAGAACCUUACCAGGUCUUGACAUCUUGCGCCAACCCUAGAGAUAGGGCGUUUCCUUCGGGAACGCAAUGACAGGUGGUGCAUGGUCGUCGUCAGCUCGUGUCGUGAGAUGUUGGGUUAAGUCCCGCAACGAGCGCAACCCUUGUUACUAGUUGCCAGCAUUAAGUUGGGCACUCUAGUGAGACUGCCGGUGACAAACCGGAGGAAGGUGGGGACGACGUCAGAUCAUCAUGCCCCUUAUGACCUGGGCUACACACGUGCUACAAUGGACGGUACAACGAGUCGCGAACUCGCGAGGGCAAGCAAAUCUCUUAAAACCGUUCUCAGUUCGGACUGCAGGCUGCAACUCGCCUGCACGAAGUCGGAAUCGCUAGUAAUCGCGGAUCAGCAUGCCGCGGUGAAUA